UUGUGCAGGUUUGGAUUUGACGUGACUGGGAGAGACUUUCGGUUUUAUUUACCUUUGUUAGGUCAUUAGAGGUGAGACAUUAUCACUGCAGAUUCUCGCUCUCUGACUUUUAUAUUAUGGAUAUUUUUCGACGGGCACGCCAUAGACGACACCAUUCAAGCAUUAGCC